rnacentral:rRNA from 1 species
CAUAGCGACUAUCGUGGCAUAUCAAUAAGCGGAGGAAAAGAAACUAACAAGGAUUCCCUUAGUAACGGCGAGUGAAGCGGGAAGAGCUCAAAUUUGAAAUCUUCAAGGUUUUACCUUGACGAAUUGUAGUUUAAAGAAGUGUUUUCUGUUGGAGUUUUGGUAAUAAGUUCUUUGGAAUAGGACAUCAUAGAGGGUGAGAAUCCCGUAUUUGACCAUUAUUUCCAGCUGUGUGAUACACUUUCAAAGAGUCGGAUUGUUUGGGAAUGCAUGUCCAAAAUGGGUGGUAAAUUUCAUCUAAAGCUAAAUAUUGGCGAGAGACCGAUAGCGAACAAGUACCGUGAGGGAAAGAUGAAAAGAACUUUGAAAAGAGAGUUAAACAGUACGUGAAAUUGUCAAAAGGGAAGCGUUUGACACCAGUGUUGUUUUCUCGAAAAUCAAUUAAAAAUGAUGGGAUUUUGUGUUGUAUUGACUUUAUCAGCUUUCUGCACUUUUUUCUUAUCUUUUUUAAUGCACUUUUCGUUUAACAAGUCAACAUCAAUUUCUUUUGUUGUAAAAGAGUCAUUGGAAGGUGGCUUUUUCUUCGGAAAAAGUGUUUAUAGCCUUUGGCUUCUGCAAUCGGAGAGAUUGAGGUCUGCAGCGUAGAUCCUUCGGGGGUUAGAUACACUUGUGCUAAGCUAUAGCCUUGUAUAGACAACUUGUUGACUAUGCUCAGUCAUGUAGCUUACUCGCUUGUGCUAUUUUACCUACGCUUAGGAUGUUGAUAUGCAUGACUGAUAU